AACGAACGCUGGCGGCAUGCCUAACACAUGCAAGUCGAACGAGACCUUCGGGUCUAGUGGCGCACGGGUGCGUAACGCGUGGGAACCUGCCCUUAGGUUCGGAAUAACUCCCCGAAAGGGGUGCUAAUACCGGAUAAUGUCUUCGGACCAAAGAUUUAUCGCCUUUGGAUGGGCCCGCGUUGGAUUAGCUAGUUGGUAGGGUAAAAGCCUACCAAGGCGACGAUCCAUAGCUGGUCUGAGAGGAUGAUCAGCCACACUGGGACUGAGACACGGCCCAGACUCCUACGGGAGGGAGCAGUGGGGAAUAGGGGACAAGGGGCGAAAGCGUGAUCCAGCAAUGCCGCGUGAGUGAUGAAGGCCUUAGGGUUGUAAAGCUCUUUGAACCGGGAUGAUAAUGACAGUACCGGGAGAAUAAGCUCCGGCUAACUCCGUG
rnacentral:rRNA from 1 species